ensembl:lncRNA
AUAGACUUUGUAUUCUGAGAGUAGAGCAGAGGAUUGAGAAGAGGAUAGAGAAGAGGAUAGAGCAGAGGAUAGAGAAGAGGAUAGAGAAGAGGAUAGAGCAGAGGAUAGAGAACAGGAAAGAGCAGAGGAUAGAGAAGAGGAUAGAGCAGAGGAUAGAGAAGAGGAAAGAUAAGAGGAUAGAGAAGAGGAUAGAGCAGGGGAUAGAGAAGAGGAAAGAUAAGAGGAUAGAGAAGAGGAUAGAGCAGGGGAUAGAGAAGAGGAAAGAUAAGAGGAUAGAGAAGAGGAUUGAGAAGAGGAUAGAGAAGAGGAUAGAGAAGAGGAUAGAGAAGAGGAUAGAGAAGAGGAUAGAGCAGAGGAUAGAGAAGAGGAAAGAUAAGAGGAUAGAGAAGAGGAUAGAGCAGGGGAUAGAGAAGAGGAAAGAUAAGAGGAUAGAGAAGAGGAUUGAGAAGAGGAUAGAGAAGAGGAUAGAGAAGAGGAUAGAGAACAGGAAAGAUAAGAGGAUAGAGAAGAGGAUAGAGCAGGGGAUAGAGAAGAGGAUAGAGAAGAGGAUAGAGAAGAGGAUAGAGCAGGGGAUAGAGAAGAGGAUAGAGAACAGGAAAGAUAAGAGGAAAGAGAAGAGGAUAGAGAAGAGGAUAGAGCAGGGGAUAGAGAAGAGGAUAGAGAACAGGAAAGAUAAGAGGAUAGAGAAGAGGAUAGAGCAGGGGAUAGAGAAGAGGAUAGAGAAGAGGAAAGAUAAGAGGAUAGAGAAGAGGAUAGAGAAGAGGAUAGAGAAGAGGAUAGAGAAGAGGAUAGAGCAGGGGAUAGAGAAGAGGAUAGAGAAGAGGAUAGAGAAGAGGAUAGAGAAGAGGAUAGAGAAGAGGAUAGAGAAGAGGAUAGAGCAGGGGAUAGAGAAGAGGAUAGAGAAGAGGAUAGAGAAGAGGAUAGAGAAGAGGAUAGAGAAGAGGAUAGAGCAGGGGAUAGAGAAGAGGAUAGAGAAGAGGAUAGAGAAGAGGAUAGAGCAGAGGAUAGAGAAGAGGAUAGAGCAGGGGAUAGAGAAGAGGAUAGAGAAUAUGAUAGAGCAGGGGAUAGAGAAGAGGAUAGAGCAGAGGAUAGGGAAGAGGAUAGAGCAGGGGAUAGAGAAGAGGAUGGAGCAGGGGGAUAGAGAAGAGUAUAGAGCAGGGGGAUAGAGAAGGGGAUAUAGAGGAGAAUAGGGAAGAGGAUAGAGCAGAGGAAAGAGAAGAGGAUAGAGAAGAGGAUAGAGAAGAGGAUAGGGAAGAGGAUAGAGAAGAGGAUAGAGAAGAGGAUAGAGCAGGGGAUAGAGAAGAGGAUGAUAGAGAAGAUGAUAGAGCAGGGGAUAGAGAAGAGGAUAGAGAAGAUGAUAGAGAAGAGGAUAGAGAAGAUCAUAGAGAAGAUGAUAGAGAAGAGGAUAGAGAAGAGGAUAGAGCAGGGGAUAGAGAAGAGGAUGAUAGAGAAGCGGAUAGAGCAGGGGAUAGAGCAGGUGGAUAGGGAAGAGAAUAGAGCAGGGGGAUAGAGAAGAGGAUAGAGCAGGAGGAUAGAGAAGAGGAUAGAGCAGGAGGAUAGAGCAGAGGAUAGAGCAGGGGGAAAGAGAAGAGGAUAGAGAAGAGGAUAGAGCAGGAUAUAUAGAAGAGGAUAGAGCAGGGGAUAUUGAAGAGGAUAGAGAAGGGGAUAUUGAAGAGGAUAGAAAGAGGAUAGAGCAGGGGAUAGAGAAUAUGAUAGAGAAGAGGAUAGAGCAGGGGGAUAGAGCAGAGGAUAGAGCAGGGGGAUAGAGAAGAGGAUAGAGCAGGAGGAUAGAGAAGAGGAUAGAGCAAGAGGAUAGAGCAGAGGGAUAUAGAAGAGGAUAUAGAAGAGGAUAGAGAAGAGGAUAGAGCAGGAUAUAUAGAAGAGGAUAGAGCAGGGGAUAUUGAAGAGGAUAGAGAAGGGGAUAUUGAAGAGGAUAGAAAGAGGAUAGAGCAGGGGAUAGAGAAUAUGAUAGAGAAGAUGAUAGAGAAGAGGAUAGAGCAGGGGAUAGAGAAGAGGAUAAAGCACGGGGACAGAGAAGAGGAUAGAGAAGAGGAUAGAGCAGGGAUAGAGAAGAGGAUAAAGCACGGGGACAGAGAAGAGGAUAGAGAAGAGGAUAGAGAAGAGGAUAGAGCAGGGGAUAGAGAAGAGAAAGCACGGGGACAGAGAAGAGGACAGAGAAGAGGAUAGAGAAGAGGAUAGAGAAGAGGAUAGAGCAGGGAAAGAGAAGAG